rnacentral:lncRNA from 1 species
UUCCAGAUUUCACAUUUACCUUUACCUGCUAAGCCAUCUUAGCAGCCCAAAUAUUACAUAUUUACAUAUGCAAAACGGGAUGUUAUUCAACCAUUAAAAAUGAGCAAAUCUUGCCACUUGCAAUUUAUGACAUGAGUGCAUCUGUGGGACACUGUGUUAAUUAAAAUAAUCUAGACACAAAAGGACAAAUACUGUGAUACCAUUUGCCAGAUGAAUAGAAAACAGCCAAGCUUGAAGAAACAAAGAGUGGAAUGGUAGUUGCCUGGGGCUGGGGAGAAAGGGAACUGGUCUUUAGUCAAAGGGAACCAAGAUUCAAUUUGGAAAAUGGAUGCCUCCCAGGGAUCUGGUCUUCAGAGCAAUGCCUAUAGUGAACUAUACCAUAUUGCAAACUUAAACCUCUGUGUUGAUGUAUGUAUGUUCUUAUAGCACAUGAAAGGCACAUAAAGAAGUCACAGGCCAGGAAUGGUGGUAUACACCUAUAGUCCAGCCACACAGGAAGCCAAAGCAAGAGGAUUGUGGGUUGGAAGACAGCCUGUGUUGCCUACUGAGAAUCUAUCACAAGUCACAGAGUCAGUCAGUAAGGAUGUGGGGAGCCCUUCCCAGAUGAUGCAUAGAUUGUAUUGAUGGUGUUGUGUGCAGGGUGCUCUAGAGGAAGAGACAAUAGAAUGUGCACAUGUUGUAAACGGGAUUUACUAGGUCGUCUUUUGUGAUAGGGGCUGGGUAUCCAACAAUAGUCUCUGCAUGCAAGGAAGGCAGAGUGUCUGGUAGAUAUUCAUUUCACAAAUAAGGAAGCCUUGGGAGUCUGAGACCACAUUUAAGGUCUAGAAGACUCCUGAAUGACUGCUGGUCUUCAGUCCAUGUUGAAAGGCCAAAGAAAAUGGAAUUUGAUGUCAACAAAUAAAAGCAAAGGCGGCGGCAGCCUUAGGCAUGAUUCAAGAAGGAUAGGCAGGCAGCUUCUCUUUUACUUGGGCUUCUUCUUUUUUGGAAGGUAUUGCCUGCUCUGAACAGAGACUUCUCCCCUGUUAAUAUUCUUGGGAAACACUCCAAGACACACCCAGGUGCAUUUCCUAGGUGGUUCCAGAUCUGUCAAGAUGUCACAAGAUUUAGCCAUCACACAUGGUUCAUGGGUGUGUCCUCGUCUGUAAACUUACCUCAUUGUGCAGAGUGGAGAAAUAGGCCUUUUGGUAUGUCAGUUGUAUCUGGAAAAGGCAACAGUUCUUUUUAAAAACUGCGCCAUCACUUCAUGGCUCAGAUAUGUAGACAAGGCAGAAUGCCUCUGAGUCACUCUCCACACACUUCCUUCUCCGUUCUCUUAUCUCCAACACUGGCACCUUCUACGAGCUUCUCCUUAACAUAAUCCCCAGAAGUGAACAUUUAACUCCAGUCCCCAUGCCUUGAUCACCUUGGAUCCUAGCAUAGAUUGUCCAGUGGUCAGGAAGAGAAACCCCACUAGUCACUUUGAGAGAAAGGGUAUAAACUAUACCUCAGACUCCCAAGGAAAGGUAAGCCAUCAGGUCCCAUGCAUGGGAUCAUUGGCAUCUCUCACACCCAAGCAAGGGGGACUCUGGGACCUUCUAGAGAGAGCUCUUCUUUAAUAUGGCUUGGCUGAUGUAGCUCUGUUGACAUGUUUGCACAUUGCUGCUUGCUUUCUUUAAGUUUCUAUUUCAGAUUCUCCGAGAUACAGAUGACUGAAUAAACUGUGUAUGGUUUGCUACUACUUUGGGCAGAGCCUACCUCUAUCCCAGUAAGCUUUGAUCACAUGAUAGGGAUACCUAGUCUACCACAAGGCUGCCUCCUCCAGGGCUGAAGAGAUUAGCCUUAAAAGGGUCUGUCUAGUGAAUCUGCCAAUCUAUACAGGCAUGCCAAUGCUUUUACAAUGUAUUUCUUUUAUUUCAGUCUCCCUUCAAAUUUUCUGUGACUCUCAGACCAAUAGAUCUCUUUUUAUUUACUGUUGUUCUCUCUUCCUUUGGGGUAGAAUCCUUUCAAGAUUUUCUCUGCUUCAACAGAUACUAAGAGACAGAGAAGAGGCACCAUCAAAAUAUAUCUCCUUCCGCCUCCUUUGGGGGCUCAAUAUUUAAGUCAAUAACCACACAGAAUAAAGAGAAACUGCCACCAGUGAGGAUUUACAGAGGGUUUACCUGGCCGUGACACUGUCCUAAGCUGCUGUUUAAAUUCAUUAUUUCUACCCCAGCCUCAGGCAGAGCUCCUUCCAUUUUCCUACUUGUACAAUGGCAGUAACAUUGCCUGAUGUACAAGGCAAUGGGACUUCUGAGAGAUGAGGUAGCUGCAUUCUCAUUGGUGCUCAGUACCUACUGAAUAAAUCGUGCCUCCUGGUGGCUGUGAUGGUGUCAUCAACUACAAUGCAGCUUCACAGCUCAUGGUUCCAUGGGGCUUGUUAUGAGACCACGGCUCAAGUUAUGUAUGACUCAAGUGUUCACAGGCAGAGCAUGAAGCCCGGAUGCUGGUUCAGGCGUCGAAAGGGCUGGGAUGAAUCAUGGGAGGAAAAUAUCUAGUUCAUGGGUUAGAAUGCAAGAGAGCCGAGGUGCUACAAAGCCAAGACCCCAGCAGCAGCAGCAUUCUGAAAGAUCCGCUCAGGACCAUGGACAGCACCAGGUUCCCAAGUGUGAUAGAAAGCUCUCUGUCCUGGAAACCUGGCCUCCAAAGGAUUUUUUUUUUUUUUGGUUUGUAUAGAAGUCUUGAGAAAGUAGAACUCUGGGUGGCAAAGCAGUCACUCUUCUGGCCUGUGUGGUGGGUAAAGGAUUCUCCACUUGAUCUCAGCCAAACAGCUGAGAAGCAGCAAGAUAACAGAACAAUGGAACACACGAGAAGAUUCAUAGUCUCUUUGGCAGGUGAGAUGCCCAGUAAGGAUGCUGGGAUAGAACCUCUGCCCUGUAUGGGUGGCACAUGUCCUUGACCUCUGAUCCAUCUCCCUGGCACACCUGCCAUGGCUUCAUCUAAGAUGUACACAGAUUCACAUCUUGGACCUUGCUCCCCUCCUUGUGGCAUGCUGAGGAGGCUCUGUGGAGCUGCUAAGAGGAUGAUUAGCUGAAGGAAGUUGGUUCCUGGGGGAGGGUCCAUAGAGUGUGCUCUCUGUGGCUCCUUCCAGUCUCACACUGUCUGUCUCCUCCUCCACUGUCACACCCAUCUCUUCCACACACUCCCAUCUCUGUGGAGCCACUCUGCUGUGUCUUCCCUGCUAGGAUGAGCUGGAAUCCCUCUGAAACCGUAAGCCAAGAUAAAUAAUCUCUCCCCAGCAGUGCUGUCUGUCAGGUGUUCUGCCAAUCUUUCAUGGAAGAUUGAAAAGCACGGAGAAAGUCCCCAUGGGCCAAAGAAGUCCAUGAAAGCAGUCCUUCUCAUGUAAGGCUUCAGAGAGCAGAUAAGUGCUAAGUGAUUUGUUCUUUCCUCUCGAUGAACCUUCACGCAGUGUGGACUUGGGGAAGGCACUCUCUGGUCUCAGUGUUUAUACCCACAUAGUCUGUCUAGAACAGACUCCAUUUAUAAUGAAAGUAAUAUUGGACUGGGUUUUAGAUCAGGAGUUAAGAGUAGAUACUGCAUUUGC